CAUUUCCUUUCUCAUUUUCUUCGUUCAUUCCGUCGGAAGCAGAGAUGGGUGAUGAGGAGGCAAACCCUAGAUCUAUUCUCAACUGAUAUCUUCUUCACCUCUCUCAACAAAUCGAGUAAUUUCUAUCUCAAUCAUCACUCUCGUCUCAUCUUUCCAUCUCUUUCAAAUCAUUUAAAAGCUUCUUUUAGAAGGUUUUAUGUUUUUUACUCUCUCUCUCUUUCAUGUCUUCUCGAUCUGCUCUGAAGAAGAGUUUCUGUUCUGAAGAAAUCCAACCAGCUGAAAGCAUCAAUCUGGGUUUUUAGGUCAUCUGUGAGAUUCAGAAGCAUCGAUCUGAUAAUCAGGUGACGCUUCAGAGUUUUAUCAUAGCCAUAAUUGGGCCUUCAGUAGCACUUGUGAUUUCAUGGACAACAACAAUGAGGGCAGUUAUACAAUUGAUUAUGAUAGAACAUGGGUCUUUCCUGUUUAUAGCUAGGAUACUAGACCAUACAACUAGGGAUUUCAUUUUGUUUUUCCUUUUUACAGUUAAGAAAUCUCUAGGUAACUGUA